CGGCUCCUACUCUCAGCCCUAGCUUGCAGGUGAGAGCCGCCACUGAACUUCUAAGUGAUGCUGGUGCCCUUAUCACCCAAACAUUCCUUACGGCUUUGCAAUGCAUGUACAAAGUCGGGCUGAUUGAUUCCCAGUCUCACCUGUAUACUGCCAGAACCAGUUUCCACAUUACCGAGAAGAGAUUCCGUCAUCGCGCACUCCCCACUCAAGACUGGGAACAGAAAUGGCAUCUAGCAAUGUGCCAUGACAAAUUCUCAGUCAUUUUGGACCAUCUCUUCAGUUCUGGCCUGGACUUUGGAGUGUAUCAUAUAGAUGAAAGAGCUGAAGCAAAGAAGUAUUAAAUAAUCAGCCAGAGGUCCUCUAACUAGGAAAUGACAGAAGUAGAUUUGAAUGCUGGCAACAAUGGCUCCAGAGUCUGUGCACUUAACUCUUAGGUCAGACUGAUCUUCCAACAGGAAACAUCGAAGAGAUCGUGCCAAAUAGAAUUCACCAAGUACUGAAUGCUCCAUUAGUCCUACAAUCUACUGACUGUCAGAAAUAAAUAGGCAGGCAUUGUUACCAUGGGGUCUGGGCAUCCUCGAAGUUAGAUUGUUGUUCUGGAAGCCCAAAGGCCAGAAUUUCAACCUCCUAGAUCCAAUUCAAUUUUGCAAGGGAGCUUAUUUAGAUUCUAGUCCCCAAAACCCCAGUCCAGCUUUUCCUGGGCAAAGGAGUCAUCUUUGAAGUAAAAUUUGUUUUCUUGUGCAGUUAGUAGUUCUCUCUCAAGAUCACUUAGAUGAUAGAAUAAAUAAGUUAGAUGUAGACAUCAAUAGAUAUUGAUAUAGCUAUUGCCCAUGGAGAAGUUGGAGGCUUCCCCAAUCUAUCCAAUCAAUUGUCAUAGGGUACUACUAGUGCCAAGGGUUUAUAGACAAAUUGAAACCUCAAAUUGAAACUGAAAUAAUAGAGCAUAUUCCUUCACCAAGUUCCAUUGGGUUUUCUAAUCAAUCAGACAGAAAUGUUUCUGGAUGAGCCUUGGCAAUAGCUCUACUUCCAAGCCAACAAUUUUUGGACUGUUGUCCUCAUUUCUUCUCUGUCAUCAACAGCAAUGGGGUUUGUUUCUGUUAGAGUUUGAGGUAGCCAUAAUCCUUAUACCAAUUUGAGCUCAGGUUGUAUGAAUACAUGACCCCUUUGAUGGAUUUUAUUAUCUAGCUGAUUCCUCCAUCAAAAUUAAUUAUGUUGUGGCAGCUUUUUCUUUCUCCAUACCCUAUUAUGAAGAUUGAUAACUCUGUUAAGUUAGAAAAAGAAAAGAAGAAACCCUUGAGGUUCCUAAGAUAUAUACACUUUAAGCCCAAUUCAAUCUUGGGUGCUGCUUGUGGAAUUUUGGGUACUGCUGCCAUUUUUCCUAUCUCAUAAACAAUGCCUACAGGUGAAGAAAUGUUAAUAAAUUAAACCUAUACCCAGAAUUCAAUGGGAAAGUCCAGAUAUUUGUUUCCUUCUGUAUUCCUCCCAUCAACCCUGUGUGGCCUUGGGAAACAGUUAUGUGCCGGGGACUCUGUAAUUCUGCUUUCUUUGAAAUUUGUGAGGGUGAAAUGGUCAGAAAUCUCUGGGUAUUCUUGGCUCAGAACCAAAACAACUUCUUGCAUGUCGCUUG
ensembl:lncRNA